rnacentral:rRNA from 1 species
CCUACGGGAGGCAGCAGUGGGGAAUAUUGCACAAUGGGGGAAACCCUGAUGCAGCGACGCCGCGUGAGUGAAGAAGUUCUUCGUUAUGUAAAGCUCUAUCAGCAGGGAAGAAAAUUACGGUACCUGAGUAAGAAUCCCCGGCUAACUACGUGCCAGCAGCCGCGGUAAUACGCAGGGGGCAAGCGUUAUCCGGAUUUACUGGGUGGAAAGGGAGCGUAGACGGCAGUGCAAGUCUGGAGUGAAAGGCGGGGGCUCAACCCCCGGACUGCUCUGGAAACUGUACGGCUGGAGUGCAGGAGAGGUAAGUGGAAUUCCUGGUGUAGCGGUGAAAUGCGUAGAUAUUAGGAGGAACACCAGUGGCGAAGGCGGCUUACUGGACUGUAACUGACGUUGAGGCGCGAAAGCGUGGGGAGCAAACAGGAUUAGAUACCCGAGUAGUC